UACGGGAGGCAGCAGUGAGGAAUAUUGGUCAAUGGGCGGAAGCCUGAACCAGCCAAGUAGCGUGAAGGACGACUGCCCUAUGGGUUGUAAACUUCUUUUAUGCGGGGAUAAAGUUCGCCACGUGUGGCGUUUUGCAGGUACCGCAUGAAUAAGGACCGGCUAAUUCCGUGCCAGCAGCCACGGUAAUACGGAAGGUCCAGGCGUUAUCCGGAUUCAUUGGGUUUAAAGGGAGCGUAGGCCGCCUUUUAAGCGUGUUGUGAAAUGUAGGGGCUCAACCCCUGCACUGCAGCGCGAACUGGAGGGCUUGAGUACACACAAAGUGGGCGGAAUUCGUGGUGUAGCGGUGAAAUGCUUAGAUAUCACGAAGAACUCCGAUUGCGAAGGCAGCUCACUGGAGCGCAACUGACGCUGAAGCUCGAAAGUGCGGGUAUCGAACAGGAUUAGAUACCCUGGUAGUCCGCACGGUAAACGAUGGAUGCCCGCUGUUGGUCUGAAUAGGUCAGCGGCCAAGCGAAAGCAUUAAGCAUCCCACCUGGGG
rnacentral:rRNA from 1 species